rnacentral:lncRNA from 1 species
AAAAAGGAAACUCUAAUUGAAACCCACAUCUAAAGAUCUCUCCUUCUCCGUUUUCUAUUUCGUUUUCUCCGUAGAUUCUGCUGUUUUGAGUGUCGGGUUCGUUUUCACUUCCAUCUUCUCCGGCUUCCGAUUUCCAAAAAAACUCCGGGGAAUAGGUGGUCGGCAUCACGGCUAUACACGGGAUAUCUCGGGGUGUUAGCUCUCAUGUCCAUAUAGUCCGACGCAAGGGUUGCUUAAUCGAGACUAAUCCUUUGCCGCACGGAGGACGUGGAGCUCUGCCGUCUGAAGGCGGCAGCCCUUCCGAUCUCCUCUUUCUAGCCGGAGGCGGUCUUUUCUUUUCCAUUAGUUUUUAGGAUUUAGGGUCGUAGAGCCUUUUUAUUUCUUUUUCCUUUUUUGUUGUUAAAUCGCGCUUGGGGGAGAGAAAAAUUUGGUCUUUUGCUAUUCGAAUUCUUCUUUUGAGAAUGUUAUCAAUCAAGAGGGUUCCGACCGUCGUGUCGAAUUACCAGAAGGAUGAGGCGGCGGAUGAAUCCGUCGGCUGUGGCCGGAAUUGCCUCGGAGCUUGUUGCAUUAACGGUACGUGUUGAAGCUGAUUCGUCUAUUUUCUCCUUCUUCUUAAAGUUGUCUGUUUGAUUCAUCUUCUGUCGAUGUGUUUGUUCAGGGGCAAGGCUUCCGUUGUAUGCCUGCAAAAAACUGGAAAAAUCCGGCGCCGGAGAGAAGCUGGUCAUCAGCCAUGAAGCUAGAGAGCCUCCGGUGGCUUUUCUCGAGUCCCUCGUUCUCGGAGAGGUACAUCAUAUAUCCAUAGAGAACUGAUUUGCUAUUCUGAUUGUGAAUUGAGUCUGAACAUUAUACUAUCAAUUCUUAUGUUUCAGUGGGAGGAUAGGUUCCAAAGAGGACUCUUUCGCUAUGAUGUCACCGCUUGUGAAACCAAAGUAAUUCUCUAUAUACCUUGUUUGAUCUCUAAAGCAAUCUAAUGAUGUUUGGUUGCUGCUGAGGAAUCCGAAAUCUGUUUCACAUUGUUCUGAAGUUUGCUUCUUUUGUUUGUUGUAGGUCAUCCCGGGGAAGUAUGGUUUCGUUGCUCAGCUAAACGAGGGUCGUCACCUUAAGAAGAGGCCAACCGAGUUCCGUGUAGAUAAGGUUUUGCAGUCCUUUGAUGGCAACAAAUUCAACUUCACUAAAGUUGGCCAAGAAGAGCUCCUCUUCCAGUUUGAAGCUGGCGAAGAUGGCGAGGUUCAGUUCUUCCCAUGCAUGCCUCUUGACGCUGAGAAUUCUCCCAGUGUUGUUGCCAUCAAUGUAAAGAAUCUGCGCAGAGACCUUGGCUUGUGUUUUCUUUCUUGGUAAUCGAUAGUACAUGUUUAUCGAGCAAAAGAUUGAUUCUUUAUUGUGUUUAACAGGUUAGUCCGAUCGAGUACGGGCAUGUGCUGCUGAUACCUCGUGUUCUUGACUGCUUGCCUCAGAGGAUCGAUCACAAAAGCCUUUUGCUUGCAGUUCACAUGGCUGCUGAGGCCGCUAAUCCUUACUUCAGACUCGGUUACAACAGCUUGGGUGCUUUUGCCACUAUCAACCAUCUUCACUUUCAGGUAUACUCGAUUGUUGCCUGAGCAUAACUCCUUCUUCACUGGCUCUUAUCUAACAAGAUGACUUGUUCUGAUCGUUUUGGUGGUGAUUUAUUUUUGGAAACAGGCAUAUUACUUGGCCAUGCCUUUCCCAUUAGAGAAAGCUCUUUCCAAGAAGAUGAUUACCACUGUUAGUGGUGUGAAAAUCUCCGAGCUUCUGAAUUACCCUGUCAGAAGUCUUCUCUUUGAAGGUGGAAACUCUAUGCAAGACCUAUCGGAUACUGUAUCAGAUGCCUGCGUCUGCCUCCAGAACAACAACAUUCCUUUCAACAUUCUCAUCUCUGAUUGUGGAAGGCAGAUCUUCUUGAUGCCACAGGUAUAACUUUAGCUGACAAACCAUUGGCAUCAUAACGGAUUUUGAAUCCAUGGAAUAAAAGUAAAUAACAGCUUGAACGUGUAAAAUUGCAGUGUUACGCAGAGAAACAGGCUCUAGGUGAAGUAAGCCCGGAGGUGUUGGAAACGCAAGUGAACCCAGCUGUGUGGGAGAUAAGUGGUCACAUGGUGCUGAAGAGGAAAGAGGAUUACGAAGGAGCUUCAGAGGAGAACGCAUGGAGGCUCCUUGCAGAAGCUUCUCUGUCAGAGGAAAGGUUUAAGGAGGUUAAUGAUCUCAUCUUUGAAGCCAUAGGUUGUAGUAACCAAGAGGAGGAGCUUGAAGGAACCAUAGUCCACCAGCAAAGCCCAAGUGGUAGUGUUAACCAGAAAAGCAACCGAACCCAUGGAGGUCCCAUCACGAACGGGACUGCCUCUGAGUGCCUUGUCCUUCAGUGAACAACCGUGGCUAGGUGGCUUUUAUGUAUAAUUAGAGUCUCUAUUGCAUAAAUAAGCAAACUCUACUGGUAGUUGCAUUUGAAGUUUCUUGGUCUUCUUUUAUGAUGGUUGUGGGUAUUUUGUGCCCUAGACUUGCUGGCUCUUUUUCUUUUAUUAUAAGCGUUUGUGAUGAAGAUAUUUAUGUUCUUCACGAUGAUGAUUAUGUUUAUAUAAAUUUGAACAAUUUGUAGUAUGUCUUCUUUCUCUUUUUUUUUUUUUGGACUUCCGAUAGAUAUGUCCAAGCUGUACCAGCUGAUUACUUGCCAUAAAAGAAAGCUCGAGAUAGUUGGUAGUUUAUCUUCAGCUCAAGAUAAUACGACACAAAACUUGUCGUACCGAACUACGAGAAAAGCAAUGUCAAAAACCUUCGAUUAUCUUGAGCUGAAUUAUUGGCUUGAGAUUCUCUGAAUUUGCCAGAGGGAUGUUUGAGCGGGAGAGAGACAAUCUUAUAGUGACGAGAGGGACGAACAUUGAGUAGUAAAUAUGGUUCCUUCUCUUCACUUUAUUGCUGAUUCUUGAAUCCGUUUAACGGAUCCUGUCAUGAAGCCAGUACAUAGGUAAAGAUAUACUGGAUCAUUGGAUCAUGAAUGGGAAAGCCAAAGCGGUGCUAUAGGUGGAUCCAGAUUCCGACAACGAUGUUUGAAAACUUACAAUGCGGAUUCUUGCUGAAAUUUCAUCAAGAAGAAGCAUUUGCCCAGGGAGUGUAUCAUAAACUAAGUAACUUUUGAGUCUUUUUAUGUGCUGCUUUGAUAUCAUAUCGUAUAUAUCUAAAAAUGUUAGUGAUCAUGUACGGUUUGGAUUUGGAAAUGUAUCAUGCUAAUUAUCUCGGUUAUAUUAGACUAAUUUUUUUAACUGACAGAACAAAUAUUCCAUGUCAGGAUUUUUAAAAUUGUUCAACAAUUAUCUCAUUCUCAGUGUAGUGUACACAUUUUAUGGGUCACCUAGAGAAAGGAUAUGAACUAAAAUAAUAAAAACUAAAACAAAAGACAAUCGGGUUAAUAACGCCUUUUAAGCCCAAAUAGUAUCAUCAUAAGAUCCAAUAUCAAACGAACACGACCAAAAGAUCAAUUCCUUAACAACCAUCAUCGACCAUACUUAAUAGUUUCUAAAGACAAUGGUGACGAUAAAAACAAGCCUGCAAAUCCUAAUAACCAUUCAUAUCACACAAUCUUAUCAUAAUUCAUGAUUCCUAAUCCCGGAAAAGUGUCAGGCCAUAGCACCGCCGCAGCCACCGCCACCGGUCUGAUGGAGCAUGGCGUCGAUCUCAUCACCAUCCUCCAUUUCAAGCUGUAGUAUCAGAGAUUUAAGCAUCAGAAAGUCGAAAGUUCAAAGGUGGGUUUAAAAAAAUAGAAGCUUUAUAUAAGUCGAAUGUUUUACCUCAUCGGGAGUUUGCUCAGCACGCAGACGACGCCCAUCAAACAAGAACGCAAUGGAGUUCAUAUCCACAGAUUGACGGUCACAGUAAGCAUUCAUCAGCUUCUUCAGCUGUGUGCUUCUCUUGAUCCUAAAGAACACCUCAUUGCCAUCCUAUGCGCAUAUAGCACGAUUCAAGGGAAAAAAACAUCAAGACACAAAUGUCAGAGACAAUAUAGGCAACAACAAGUGAGUCUAGAGUCUCUCUAUCUUUUUACUGGUAACCUGAAAAGUCUAAGAGCAAGGAAAAAAACACAUAACACCAACCAAAACCACUUGAAAUCUAACCAUAGAGAGACUCUACAAAAUCAUCAGCAGGUAUCUGGCCAGACAGUUUAUUCGCUAAGAAUGUUGCCAUAUAUACUUUAAAUGGGUUUAGAGUAAAGUUCGCAAUUCUAAGAACAUUCAAAUACUAUUUCAAUUUUCUGCUUUUGAAUUCGUAAAAGCCUUCGAACAACAACCGCAAUCAACAGCUAUAUACAGCUUAGACCUAAAACUAGAGCUAUAGUUUGAGAAAAUCGAAAAACAAAUAGCAAAAGUUAACAAACGAGGAGACAAAAGCAAAAUACUCCGCUCAGUUCUCAUAAAAAUCAAAGGGUUUCGAAUCCCAGAAAAAAAAGCAAGACCCACUAAGACUGAAACCCUAGAAUUGCGAAAACAGAAAGCAGCCAAAUCGGGAAACACAACCCUAAUCGAACCUACACCUUGAAAUCGGAAACCUAAAUCUUAACACAAAACGCAUGCAACAAAAGAAAAGGAAUAGAGAUUUACCUGUCCCUUGACCUUCAGAUUGAUGUGAGCUCCUCCGUCUCCGGGCUUCUUAUCUUCGUCCUGGGUUGCAGACAUCGCUUCUUUUCAAAGAUUCACCGUCCGAUGAGCAAAAAUACGAUUUGAGAGAGGGAACGAAACAGCAGCAGAAGUGAGAGAUUCAAGCGAUCAAAGAGUGAUGGCUGGAAGAGAAGAUGAGAGCUAAAUAAAUAAAUAAACGAAAAUUACUUCGCCGCGCUUUUGUACUUAGACGCAUCGGAUUCCUCUUUAUCAUAAAGUGAGGAAACGUAGGGCAUCUAUCGGAGGGUUGAUAUUUUCUAUGUUGACUUCUAAUCCAACGGCUGAGAGUUCAUUAAAAUCCUUGUCCAACGAUAUCGUUUUCAAUUUUUACCCCCAUUGUAAUGGGCUUAUAUUCUUGAUUGGGCCAAAUAUCGAUUUGAUUUUGGAUCAAAACAUUUGGUUCAAUUUUUUUAAUUACGUAUUUUUGUUUGGUUACCACUCAUGAUUUUGUAUCCACUCUCUAAUCCAUGAUUCAAACUGUUGAAGAAUUAAAUGAGCUUAAUGCCUCCUUAUUGAAUUGGGAAAAAAAAAGGAUUAGCUGAAGAAGAUAAAGUUAGUCACACGUUCUUUACUAAAGAAAGUAUAAUGAAUUAAGGAGAGAUGUUCAAGGCACAUACAAAGAAUCAAGUUUUAACGAAACAAGAAUUGUCAAAAAGUUUAGUUUCUUCAUAAAUCAAUUAUUAUCAAGGAAAAGAAUCAGUUUAACAUUCUUCUUUUGUACAGAUUAUAAAAUUUUGAGAAAGUUUACUUACCUGAUUUUUUUUUUUAAUUUAUUUAUUUAUCUGAGUUUUUAGCUAUAAUUAGAGAUUUAGAAAAAUACUUUCAGUUUAACUUAUUUUUGUUCUGCUAUUCUUCCGUGUAAUUUGUUAUCCCACAUUCCCACUUCUUUUCACCUGAAUCCUAUAAAAACAACACCGGAGAAAAAGACUCUCUUCAUACCCAUCAAACGACACUAGUUUAUGUGUUUCAUGCUCUGUUUCUGAGAAAAAAACAGAGAAUAUCAUGGCCGUUUCCUUCUUACCUUAUUUUCUCAUUCCUUCCUUCUUCUCAGCCAUUUCCCUCACACAAGCAGGUUCGUUUCUAUUCACACGAGUUUUAACAUUUGUAUUUGCCUCUCUGCAUUCUCAUGAUAUCUACUACGUUUUUUCCUUAUUUUUUUCCCCACAGACUCUGGAAUGAUCGGAGUCAAUUACGGCCGCAUAGCUAACAACCUCCCGUCGCCGGAGAAUGUAGUGAACCUCCUGAAAUCGCAAGGAAUCAACCGUAUCAAAAUCUUCGACACCGAUCAUACCGUGCUAGCCUCGCUUGCCAAUUCCGGAAUCAAAGUAGUCGUCGCUCUCCCCAACGAGCUUCUCUCCUCCGCCGCCUCCGAUCAAUCAUUCGCCGACAACUGGGUUCAAGCCAACAUUACGAAACACUUCCCAGCAACAGAGAUCGAGGCUAUCGCCGUCGGUAACGAGGUGUUCGUCGAUCCGAGCAACACCACGCCGUAUCUCGUCCCCGCGAUGAAGAACAUUCAUAGCUCUCUCGUCAAGUUUAACCUCGACGAAUCCAUCAAGAUCUCCUCUCCGAUUGCUCUUAGCUCGCUGGCUAAUUCUUACCCGCCAUCUUCCGGGAGAUUUAAACCGGAUUUGGUGGAACCGGUUAUUAAACCGAUGCUUGAUCUGUUACGUCAAACGUCGUCGUAUCUCAUGGUAAAUGCUUACCCGUUCUUCGCUUACUCAGCAAACGCCGACAAAAUCUCCUUAGACUACGCUCUGUUCAGAGAAAACGCCGGAAAUGUAGAUCCCGGAACUGGGCUGAGAUACAACAGUCUCUUUGACGCCCAAAUCGACGCCGUUUUCGCCGCCAUGUCCGCCGUCGGAUUUGGCGGCGUUAAGGUGAUGGUGACGGAAACAGGCUGGCCUUCUGCCGGAGACGAGAACGAGAUUGGUGCCAGCGAAUCCAACGCGGCGGCGUAUAACGGUGGGCUUGUGAAGAGAGUGUUGACGGGUAAUGGAACGCCGUUGAGACCGAGGGACCCACUCAACGUUUAUUUGUUCGCUUUGUUUAACGAAAACCAGAAACCGGGGCCCACGUCCGAGAGAAACUACGGGCUGUUUUACCCGAGCGAAGGAAAAGUGUACGACGUUCCGUUCGUCGCCGGGGAAGUGAGGUCAACGCCGGUCAACGGUGACGGAGCUCAGUUUCCGGUGGCUCACGAGGGACAGUCGUGGUG